rnacentral:rRNA from 1 species
CCUACGGGUGGCAGCAGUGGGGGAUAUUGCACAAUGGAGGGAACCCUGAUGCAGCGACGCAGCGUGGGUGAAGAAGCGUUUCGGCGCGUAAAGCCCUAUCGGCAGGGAAGAAGGAGGACGGUACCUGACUACGAAGCCCCGGCUCACUCCGUGCCAGCAGCCGCGGUAAUACGUGGGGGGCAAGCGUUAUCCGGAGUUACUGGGUGUAAAGGGGGCGCAGACGGCAGCGCAAGCCAGGAGUGAAAGCCCGGGGCCCAACCCCGGGACUGCUCUUGGAACUGGGGGGCUGGAGUGCAGACGGGGCAGGCGGAAUUCCUGGUGUAGCGGUGAAAUGCGUAGAUAUCAGGAGGAACACCGGUGGCGAAGGCGGCCUGCUGGACUGCGACUGACGUUGAGGCCCGAAAGCGUGGGGAGCAAACAGGAUUAGAUACCCGAGUAGUC